rnacentral:lncRNA from 1 species
AACUUUUCCUGGAUGAAGGCCCCUUCUUUAGGAGGAAUGUUCUACAGCCAGAGUCUCAAUGGCAGCUAGAGAAAUUUGACUCGCUCUGGCCCAGAGAUGAGCUGGAUUUGUGGCCCAGGAGCAAACAAUGCUUUCAGAGGAUCCAAGCUGCAGGGCCACUUCCACACAAAGGCUUGUAAAUGCAGUGCUGUGGAGAGGCUCUAACACUCACACUGAGAGGGAAGAAGUUGAGAUGAGGAAUCCAGUAAACUCCUCAAUAUCUGCUGCUUUAUACACAACCGGUGUUUAACACAAGAAACAGGGGACAUUUCUGUCUCUUAUUUGACUGUUGUCAGCACAUCGCUUGUUUGCUGUAAUACAGUGUGGCACCGUGAUGUUGCAGUCAGACUCCAUGCCCAUUCCUAUAAAUACAGCCCUGUGUGGCCCAGAUCCUUGGGACGUUCCCCAGUUCUUCCUCUGCUGGUAGCAAGCUCUACUAUGCCAGGGUUCUGCGUACUGAGAAUUCAAGGUUUGGUCCUGACACGGACUCUUGCAGUGAAGGGUUGCAUGAAAUGCAGAAUGAAAAUAGGCCAGGCAGUGGCAUGGAACUUCUUGCCAAAAAAAAACAGCACGGCACAUGAGAUUCAGGGGUUAGCAGCAAAUAGGCCUUUCCUAGGAGUGACAGUAGUGUACUGUUGGAUCGACAAAAAGUAAAAUGGCACAGAUUAAGAGGAUGAAAGCCCCUUCCUCCUCAGUGAUGAAGAGAUGUGUGUGGGACUCAUACUUAUGGCCCUGCCAGCCACUUUUCAUCCCUGGCCCUGCCAGCAGCCUGAGGUGUUCCUCAGAGGGUCAUCAUCGUCUUUAUGGCCUUCCCCAACCCUGUGAUGCCUUGCCAGUAUCAAAAUGACCCCAUCAUCUGCUGCCUGCUUUGGACUGUGUAGAAAUAACUUCAAUACCUUUCAUAAUUUGCUGUUGGAGGUUGCUGUUGAAGUCUGCACUUGCCUGUGAAAGCUGUGAGGAGAGUCAAUCUGUUCCUCUGCCUCAAUUUUGUCAUCUAAAAAAUGGCAAUUAAGACAUUUUAGUUCUCCCAUCAGUAGAGAGCCAGUGACCUGGUGUAAUAAAAUGAUACCGUUUUGAUCAUUUGCC